rnacentral:rRNA from 1 species
UACAGAGGUCUCAAGCGUUGUCCGGAAUUAUUGGGCGUAAAGGGCUCGUAGGCGGUCUGUUGCGUCAGGAGUGAAAACUCGGGGCUUAACCCCGAGCCUGCUUCUGAUACGGGCAGACUAGAGGUAUGCAGGGGAGAACGGAAUUCCUGGUGUAGCGGUGAAAUGCGCAGAUAUCAGGAGGAACACCAAUUGCGAAGGCAGCUCGCUGGGACGUUACUGACGCUGAGACGCGAAAGCGUGGGGAGCAAACAGG